rnacentral:tRNA from 10 species
CCCAGGUGUCAGGAUGGCCGAGUGGUCUAAGGCGCCAGACUCAAGCUUGGCUUCCUCGUGUUGAGGAUUCUGGUCUCCAAUGGAGGCGUGGGUUCGAAUCCCACUUCUGACACAACUAUCUUAUUCUCCUUUUACUCUACUUUCUCAGCCAUUUCUGUGUUUUCAUUCUUUCUACCUCAACUUUUUUUAUUCUAACUAAAAUGAUACACUCUCAAUGAGGUCUGCCCCCUUGCUUUUCAGUCUUGUUCGCUGUUUAGUAGUGAAUCACGUUUUGCC